rnacentral:rRNA from 1 species
UACGUAGGGUCCAAGCGUUAUCCGGAAUCACUGGGCGUAAAGAGCUCGUAGGCGGCUUGUCGCGUCGGAUGUGAAAGCCCGGGGCUUAACUCCGGGUCUGCAUUCGAUACGGGCAGGCUAGAGUUCGGUAGGGGAGAUCGGAAUUCCUGGUGUAGCGGUGAAAUGCGCAGAUAUCAGGAGGAACACCGGUGGCGAAGGCGGAUCUCUGGGCCGAUACUGACGCUGAGGAGCGAAAGCGUGGGGAGCGAACAGG